CGCUACAUUGCCGCCGCGACUUUGCUGCCUAGCUCGGAAUGUAAUCUCAUAUAAGCUUAUAGAGAUUGUAUGGGGACCAGUAGUGCCGCGACAGCACUGUUGCGGCAGCACUGCUGCGUGCAGCGUGGUUCGGAAUCAUACCUUAAUUUAUAUUGCGCUCUAUAAAC